AAUCAACGCUGGCGGCGUGCCUAACACAUGCAAGUCGAACGCGAAAGCCCCUUCGGGGGUAAGUAGAGUGGCGUCCGGGUGAGUAACACGUGGGUAAUCUGCCUUCGGGUGGGGAAUAACCCAGGGAAACUUGGGCUAAUACCGCAUAAUGCAGCGGCACCUUAAUGGUGAUUAGUUGUUAAAGCGGGGAUCGCAAGACCUUCGCGCCUGAAGAGGAGCCUGCGGCAGAUUAGCUA
rnacentral:rRNA from 1 species